UGAAAAAGGAAAUGAUUCACAUGUAUUUUAACUUCUUUACAAACUUGUUUUUAGCCUGAAUCAUAGGAAGAGUCUGUAGCCUUUUCCCAUGGUUUUUGUUGGCAGCAGCUGUAUGUUCCCAUGGGAACACACAUACUUACCUAUCCAAACCUUCCUCUUUUAUUUAUGCCCUCAGCUUCUGUUCACUUGGAUGUUUUCAUCUUUUCUAUGGAGCAUAUUCACAUAUAAGUUUAGAGCACAGCCCAUUUUUCUUUUGCAACUGAGGAUUCAUUCUGAAUAUUUUCAAAUAUAUAAAACUCCAGGUAAAACUCCAAACCAAAUAUGAUGGGAGGAGGCAUUUGGAUAGACCAUAGAGUGAUAACAUCACUUUGAACACCAUCUGUGGUAAACAUUUUAGCUUUCUUCAGUGACCAGAUAAAGGAAAGAUGGCUCAGAGUGCUUCUUCGGUGGCUAAUUCUGGAAAGCCUUUGCUAAAUUUUAAUCCAAAAUAGGAAGACUCUCCCUCCCUCGUGUUCAAGAAGCUUGCAGUGCUGGGGGUGACAUUGCCCUUUUCAUCUCCUGGAGAGAAGUUCUCCUCUGACCAUAACAGCAAAUCAGCAAACACUUACUGAACUCUUUACUCAUAGAGGACACACUAAUUUCUAUGUUACUUUGUUCCUUGCCAAAUUCCAAUGGCUUGAAAUCCAAAAUAGAUGACGUUAAAUAAGAGCAGUUGUAUGUUUUCAAGAAACUCUUGAGUUUGGUUACUGUAGGUUUUCUAAGAUACUGCUUUCUUUAGUUUAUACCAAAAACAUCUAUUGAGCUAGCUUCUAGACUAAGUGCUGGUGAUUCAGACAUGAAUAAUACUUCCUCUGGAGUGUUUCAGGUAAGACAAAUACAUAAUAAGCUAUAAUAAAAUUUAAUAAGUCCUUCAACAGAAGUGCACAAGUUCUGUGGGAAUGUUGAAGAAAACAAUUCUGUGGUUCCAGGGUGGCCUUCACAGAGCAGAAUGCAUUUGGGCAAGUCUCAAAGGGUGAGCAGGGUCUCCCUAAGUGGAGUAGGAGCACUUAAGGCAGAGAAGAGAAUGAAUAAAAGCACCAGUACAUCAAAGUGCAGUGCUGGCUGUUAUUUCUUUUCAUUCCAGAUGACACAAGUCAGGAAUCCAGGGAGAGACAAGUGUCUGGGAGGCUGCCCUCCUCAAGGAUGGUCUUCCCAGCUCAGUCCUGCUGCAAGCAGAAAUUUCAGGACUGCAGAAUCAGGCUGAUUAAAUCAUAAGGUUCAGGAAGCCAGAAGUCUGAAAUCAAGGUGUCAGCAGGAUUGGUUCCUUCUGAAGACACUGAGGGAGAAUCUGUUCCAUGCCUCUCCCCUAGCUUCGGCUUGUCCUGGCAAGGGCACCUGGAGCCACUCCUAAUAAACUCCUGGAAUAUCUCCUCAAAGUUUGGGAAAAAAUGAUGCCUACAGUAAAUGAGGUGGAGAUGAUGGAAAUUCCUCGUCAGAGGAAGGGAUCAAAGGCUCAGAAAGGCAGGCCUGUUAGAACUGACUUAUUUGUGCAACACCAAAGAAUCACCAGAUGACUAUGUUUCUCAGGAAGCUUGGAUACCGUGGACAUCUGAAGUGACCAAGGACCACCAGGUGGCAGCAGAGUCUCAACUAAACUGUCCACCAACUUGGGCACCAAGUCAGCUCCUCGACCACAGCAGGUGACCUCACAUCCUCCUUUGUCUGGAAGACUGGGACCAUCCAUCCAGUCCUCCUCUGCAGGCCCUCUCCGCUGUAGACAGAGCACAAGACCUACAGAGUCCUCCAUGGUACAUUUCUUGAGCUGAAUGGGAAAGACAUCAGAAAUUUCAUCCUUUUCAAGGCAAAUCAUUCAAUUAGUGAAUACUUAACUGACUUGAGCCAAGACUCCUAACUACUAUGUACUGCCAAGUACAGACAUGUGAUGAUGAAGCACAUUUGUGGCAGAUAAAGAAUAUUUGACAAGAAGAAUCAUUCAUCCAGAAUUUGUCAGACUCCCCCUUCAGCACUAUGGAAAGAGAAUCAAAUCACUGGCCCACAGGCAUAGGCCAGUGUGCUCAGCUGGGUGCUUAGUCAAGAGGUUAUACAACUUUGGCAGGGAUAUCAGAGAUGUGAUUCUAGCUUCUUCUCAUCGCAUCCUAGCAGGAUCUGAGAGCAGCCCCCAGCUGACAGCCACAGGGAAAUGGGGACCUCAGUCCUACAGCUACAAGGAACAGAACUCUGCCAACAACCUGAAUGAGUUGGAAGGAAAAUUCUUCCCCAAAGCCUCCUGAUGAAAUUCCAGCCUGGCCAACACCUUGAUUUCAGUCUUGGGAGACCCUGAGCGCAGAACCCAGUUGGAUCUGACAGAGCUGUGAGAUCGUAAGUGGAUGUUGUUUCAAGCCAUUUGUGAUGAUUUGUUACACAGCAGUAGAAAACUAAUACCAGAGGUAUCUGCCACCUUUCUCUGCCGUAAACUAACUCUUUCCCCUUAGUAACUGUUUUAGACAGCUUGGGCUGCUAUAACAAGUUACCAUGGGCUAGAGGCGGCUUAAACAACAGGAAUGUAUUUCUCAUAGUUCUGGAGGCUGCAAAGUCCAAGAUCAAGGUGCCAGCAGAUCUGGCACUUUCUGAUUUGCAGAUGGCCAUCUUCUCAUUGUAUCUUCAUAUGGCAGAGAGCAGAGAGAGAGAGAAAGAGAGAGAGAGAGAUAGAGAGAGAGGGAGGGAGAUCUCCUGUGUCUUCUUAUAAGGGCACUAAUCCCAUUCAUGAGAGUUCUACCCUCAUGACCUAAUCCCCUCCCAAAAAUCAUACCUCCUAAUACCGUCACAUUAGGAGUUAGAAUUUCAACAUAUGAAUUCCAUAACAAACAUUUAAUCUAUAACAGUAAUUAAUACAAUUUAUGAUUAGUUGUAGAGUCCUUCAUAGAAUCACUUCAGCGUAGGUAGGUAGGUAGGCACCAUGGGUUGUAACAAUUAAGAGACCUGGUUUCAGUUUUGUCAUCUGAAACAUCAGAAUAAAAAUAAAAUAAAAAUAAACAGACAAAAAUUCCUGCUCUCAUAGAGCUUACAUUUUAUUAGGUAGAAACAGAACAAGCAAGCAAGCAAACAACAAAUAAAUAAAAUACAUAAUAUGUUAGGUAAAUAAAUGCUAUGGAAAAAAGGAAAACAGAGAGGAGAAAGAGGGAGCACCAGAGAAGAUGGAUUAAUUUUAAAUAGGGUGGGGAAAGAAGGGCUUCCUGAGAAGAUGAUGAAUGAGCGAAGACCUGAAGACUAUGAGGCAGAGAAUCACUCACACUAUCUGAGGGUAGAUAAAGCAUCCCAGGCAUUGAGAAUAACCAGGGCAAAGGCCCUAGGCCACAAACACAGUGGUAACCUCAAACCACCUAUCGUGCGUAACUUUUAAACAAUGGUCAAAGUCUUCUCCUUGGUCUUUCCAUCUCUCCCUAACUGACGUGGGGCCUGACCAUUUUGAACCAACAAAAGUGGUCAAACGCAGCACUUCCCUGGAGUUGCUGGGAAAACAUUUACCCUACUGACAACAAAUGAGAAAAAAACAAACUGGAUAGAAUUUUAAAUACAAUGUAAUCAAAUUCCACCGUGUAGUACACUCAGGGUGUUUGUUUACUAAAGUUGAAAGACCAACUGAAUGAAAAUAACUU